rnacentral:rRNA from 1 species
UACGUAGGUGGCAAGCGUUGUCCGGAUUUAUUGGGUUUAAAGGGUGCGUAGGCGGUCUUCUAAGUCAGUUGUGAAAUACUUCAGCUUAACUGGAGAGGUGCAAUUGAUACUGGAAGACUUGAGUACUGAUGAGGUAGGCGGAAUGGACGGUGUAGCGGUGAAAUGCUUAGAUAUCGUCAAGAACACCUAUAGCGAAGGCAGCUUACUAGGCUGUAACUGACGCUGAGGCACGAAAGCUAGGGGAGCGAACGGG